rnacentral:rRNA from 1 species
UACGGGGGGAGCAAGCGUUGUUCGGAUUUACUGGGCGUAAAGGGCGCGUAGGCGGGCUGUCAAGUCUGGGGUGAAAUGCCGCGGCUCAACCGUGGAACUGCCUUAGAUACUGACGGCCUCGAGGAAGGUAGGGGCAUGCGGAACUGUAGGUGGAGCGGUGAAAUGCGUUGAUAUCUACAGGAACUCCGGUGGCGAAAGCGGCGUGCUGGACCUUUUCUGACGCUGAGGCGCGAAAGCUAGGGGAGCGAAUGGG